GAGUUUGAUUCAUGGCUCAGGAUGAACGCUAGCUACAGGCUUAACACAUGCAAGUCGAGGGGAAACGGACAUCGAAAGCUUGCUUUUGAUGGGCGUCGACCGGCGCACGGGCGAGUAACGCGUAUCCAACCUGCCCACCACUUGGGGAUAACCUUGCGAAAGUAAGACUAAUACCCAAUGAUAUCUCUAGAAGACAUCUGAAAGAGAUUAAAGAUUCAUCGGUGAUGGAUGGGGAUGCGUCUGAUUAGCUUGUUGGCGGGGUAACGGCCCACCAAGGCAACGAUCAGUAGGGGUUCUGAGAGGAAGGUCCCCCACAUUGGAACUGAGACACGGUCCAAACUCCUACGGGAGGCAGCA
rnacentral:rRNA from 1 species